GGCCUCUCUCUCCGGUAGAGCUGUGGGAGGUCCCCUUUCUCCUCAGCCAGGACUGGAGGCCGAGAUCAGCCCUGGAGGACCAUCGUCGGGGCUGCCACGAGCUGGGUGGCCUUGUUUUCCUGCCUCAGACAUUU